UCCGGUUUGUUUCCGGCAGUCUCUCUAGAUUUGCAACUAAAGACAAGGGUUGCGCUCGUUGCGGGACUUAACCCAACAUCUCACGACACGAGCUGACGACAGCCAUGCAACAUCUGUGUACCUGUCCUCGCGGAGGCUUUGGUUUCCCAAAGUUGCAAGCACAUGUCAAGCCCAGGUAAGGUUCUUCGCGUUGCAUCGAAUUAAACCACACGCUCCGCUGCUUGUGCGGGGCCCCGUCAAUUCCUUUGAGUUUUAGUCUUGCGACCGUACUCCCCAGGCGGGCCACUUAAUGCGUUAGCUUCGGCACGGAAGGGGUCAACACCCCCCACACCUAGUGGCCAUCGUUUACUGCUAGGACUAC
rnacentral:misc_RNA from 1 species